GUAUAGAUUUAUAGGCACAAAGGCCCAUUAAUUACAUUCUGAAACAUACAUUAGGGUAUAUGAAGAAACAUAGACCUGGAAAUGUAAGAAGAGACUUUCUGUCAAUCCUCAAUCCUGAGUGCUAAGCAAUCAGAGAGAUACCCAAGGUCUACAAAAGGUGCACAGGUGAAGAUACAAAGAUGACAAGUGUGCACAUGCUCCCUAGAGAACCAGCAGCAACUCAUCAGGUUUAUUUCAAUAAUGAUCCUUCCGCAGGUUCACCUACGGAAA
rnacentral:misc_RNA from 1 species